rnacentral:sRNA from 1 species
ACCCUCGUCAUGGUGUUGGAGCAGGAAACUGCCCUUGAUCUAUUCUUUUGAAUAUUUUGUCACACCUAAAAUGAGGGUUU